UACGUAGGGUGCAAGCGUUUGUCCGGAAUCAUUGGGCGUAAAGGGCGCGUAGGUGGCGGGACAAGCGUGCGGUGAAAGCCUGGGGCUCAACCCCGGGUCGGCCGUGCGAACUGUUUUGCUUGAGCACUGUAGAGGCAGGCGGAAUUCCGGGUGUAGCGGUGGAAUGCGUAGAGAUCCGGAAGAACACCGGUGGCGAAGGCGGCCUGCUGGGCAGUAGCUGACACUGAGGCGCGACAGCGUGGGGAGCAAACAGG
rnacentral:rRNA from 1 species